ensembl:lncRNA
GGCGAUUUUAGCAUGGAAAUAUUGGUGAGGCAAACAAUUGUAUGUUUUAUUUAUUUAUGCCAGCAAAGCCACUACACAACACUACACAAUACAUUAAUUGCACUAUAACGGUGACAUACAAUGGUGUAAAGUACUUAAGUAAAAAAUACUUUAAAGUACUACUUAAGUCGUUUUUUUGAGUAUCUGUACUUUACUUUACUAUUUAUAUUUUUUAUGACUUUUACUUAUACUUCACUACAUUCCUGAAGGAAAUAAUAACAUAGCUAAUAUGGCUGAUUUGCUUAAACAAAUGUGGUUUCUAUUGACAAUUGACAUGUACAAACUAUGGCAUAAGGGGACAACGAGCGGAUAAGAGGCAAUCCGUAAUUUCGAUAAAGACCUUAAUGAGUGAGCUGGGACGGAUGUAGUCAAUAUAACUAUUUGUUCAACACUUUUGAAAUGUACAGCGACAGAAUUCAGAACAUGGGCCAUUCUUACAGUAUUCUCCCUGUACACCAAGUCAGAGCCAUAGGAUAAAUAAAGGCAUAUAUUUUUUUAUUUUACCUUCAUUUAACUAGGCAAGUCAGUUAAGAACAAAUUAGCUUCACUCUUGUGUAUUUUAUUUGUCUUUGUCGCGUGUUAAUAUUAUUUUGUUUAACUCGGCAUCAUUGGGUUGUAUUCUGGGUCAUGUGACAAAUACUAUUUAUUUUGUAGUGGAGGAGGGCAACAACAUUAACAAACGUGUGGUCCUGAGCAAAGACUUAUUGUUCAGAUUUGAAGGGGUCUAGUGACAUCUAGUGGUCAACACAUGCAUAGCCUGUGAGGUGGUUAAUGGAAACACAAUUUCACCUGUAUUUGGAAAACAGUAUAAAAGUGGGACAAAGAGUACAAAUGUGUAGGCAUUGGGGUAAAAAUGAGGACAAACAUUUUGCAAAGUAUGAGGUUUCCCCCAAGACUAAUGGUUUGUCUGGAUGGGCUCAUUUCAGACACAUAAAAUUAGUACUUGUCUCCCUUCACCAACAGAUGUCUCCCUAGACUUUGAAAAUGGACUCGUCACAAUUGCAAGUUGGGAUUCUUGGGACAUACAUACCAUAAAGCCUAACCCUAACCUUAACCCCUAUCCUAUCCUACCCUACCCUUACCUAACCUUAACCAUAACCUUUGGUAUUUGGUAUGUUAUUAGGAUUCCCAAUUAGCUGUUGAGAAAGCAGCAGCUACUCUUCCUGGGGUCCAACACAGAACAUGAACCAUGACAUAAUACAGAACAUUAUUAGACAACAGCUCAAGGACAGAACUAUAUCAACACCUUAAUAACCCUUAACCCUUAACCAUUUUAAAUAUCAACUUCAACGGGGUGACGUCAGAGUUGGGACAUCCCAAGAAUCCCAUUUAGAACAUGUCUCAUAUUACACGAAACGUUUAGGCUACAUAAUGUGACUUUUCUAUGUACAUGGAUUACACAGGUCAAACUAAACCAGUCGUCUAUUAGACUGUCCACCUCCAAAGAGCAGGCGAUGUAGACCUAUUCAUGGAAACCAGAAGCAGUUAGCUUGUCUGUCUAGACUGAGACAGAGAGCAGGCUUGUCUGUCUAGACUGAGACAGAGAGCAGGCUUGUCUGUCUAGACUGAGACAGAGAGCAGGAUUGUCUGUCUAGACUGAGACAGAGAGUAGGCUUGUCUGUCUAGACUGAGACAGAGAGUAGGCUUGUCUGUCUAGACUGAGACAGAGAGCAGGCUUGUCUGUCUAGACUGAGACAGAGAGUAGGCUUUUCCGUCUAGACUGAGACAGACAGCAGGCUUGUCCGUCUAGACUGAGACAGAGAGUAGGCUUGUCCGUCUAGACUGAGACAGAGAGUAGGCUUGUCCGUCAAAGACUGAGACAGAUAGCAGUCUUGUCUGUCUAGACUGAGACAGAGAGUUGACUGAAACAGAGAGUAGACUGAGACAGAGAGUAGACUGAGACAGAGAGUAGGCUUGUCCGUAUAGACUGAGACAGAGAGUAGACUGAGACAGAGAGCAGGCUUGUCCGUCUAGACUGAGACAGAGAGCAGGCUUGUCCGUAUAGACUGAGACAGAGAGUAGGCUUGUCUGUCUAGACUGAGACAGAGAGUAGGCUUGUCUGUCUAGACUGAGACAGAGAGUAGGCUUGUCCGUCUAGACUGAGACAGAGAGUAGGCUUGUCCGUCUAGACUGAGACAGAGAGUAGGCUUGUCUGUCUAGCCUGAGACAGAUAGCAGGCUUGUCUGUCUAGACUGAGACAGAGAGUAGGCUUGUCUGUCUAGACUGAGACAGAUAGCAGAUAGGCUUGUAGCUGGUCCUCCUCUAGGGGGUAGCUGGUCCUCCUCUAGGGGGGUAGCUGGUCCUCAAAUAGGGAGGUAGCUGGUCCUCCUCUAGGGAGGUAGCUGGUCCUCCUCUAGGGGGUAGCUGGUCCUCCUCUAGGGAGGUAGCUGGUCCUCCUCUAGGGGGUAGCUGGUCCUCCUCUAGGGGGUAGCUGGUCCUCCUCUAGAGGGUAGCUGGUCCUCCUCUAGGGGGUAGCUGGUCCUCCUCUAGGGGGGUAGCUGGUCCUCUUCUAACUAUGUUGAUAUUUAUCACACAUUUUAGUUUCAGAGCUCAGCUAAAAAAGUGUGAACUUUUUUUUUGUAUUUCUGUUCAGUUCUAUUUGUGGACCACAGGAAGGGCUUCUGCAUGUACAGCGGCUAAUGUUGCUCCUCAUCAACUAAACUAAACCAUUCAAAUCAAAUCAAAAUGUAUUGGUCACAUACACAUGGUUAGCAGAUAUUGCGAGUGUAAUGAAAUGAUUGUGCUUCUAGUUCCGACAGUGCAGUAAUAUCUAACAGGGAAUCUAACAAUUCCACAACAACUACCUAAUACACACAAAUCUAAGUAAAGGAAUGGAAUAAGAAUAUAUACAUAUAAAUACUGUAUAUGGAUGAGCAAUGACAGAGCAGCACAGGCAAGAUGCAAUAGGCGGUAUAAAAUACAAUAUAUACAUAUGAGAUGAGUAAUGCAAGAUAUGUAAACACUAUUAAAGUGGCAUUAUUAAAGUGACUAGUGAUCCAUUUUUUAAAGUGGCCGAUUAGUCUGUAUGUAGGCAGCUGCCUCUCUUAGUUAGUGAUGGCUGUAUAACAUUCUGAUGGCCUUGAGAUUCUAUAUGCAUUCUGAGCGUUUUGUCAGUAACAUAAAGACAGCAUCUGACACAAUAUAGAGUUUUUCUCCAACAUCCAAUGAACGUCCUGUCAAGUGUUUUUUUAAUUUGAUUAUUUUUAUCCAAUUAGAUCAGCGCAUGGUUUUAUCAUCUGCUUACAGGAAAUCCCCCAAGAUGUAUCGAGGUCAUAUCAGACUCAGAGAUCCUGUCACGAAACAGAAAAUAAAGUGAAUGUAUCUGUUUUGUACCGUAGCAGUUUGUUGUUUCCUUUCUGUAUCCAGGCGAUGUAGGGCAACACACCAGAUGUUGAUGACUAAACCAUGUUUGUUCUGUCAGGUGGACGCUGAUUGAGAUAUCCCACCCACCCAACCACUCCUGAAUGAAUGAAUGCGUUUCUAUGGUGACCUAAACUCUCAACUGGAGCACACGCUGCUUUCACUUCAUUACACCUACGUUCCAAAUGGAACCCUAUUCCCUAUAUAGUGCACUACUUUAGACCAGAGUCCUAUGGAACCCUAUUCCCUAUAUAGUGCACUACUUUAGACCAGAGUCCUAUGGAACCCUAUUCCCUAUAUAGUGCACUACUUUUGACCAAAGCCCCACGAGCCACUCCCCUACACAACAUUUACACAACGACUCUCUCAUCUGUCCAUUGAUGGAUCUGAAUACAGCUGGAAUAUUUUCAAGGAGUUCUAGUUUUAGAUAACCAGUUUGUUUACCACAAUCAAAUCAAAUCAAAUUUUAUGAGUACUGUAGUAUACUUCCCUCUCUCUCCCAGCAAACAGACCAUACAAACCAUUACUGUAGUAUACUUCCCUCUCUCUCCCAGCAAACAGACCAUACAAACCAUUACUGUAGUAUACUUCCCUCUCUAACCCAGCAAACAGACCAUACAAACCAUUACUGUAGUAUACUUCCCUCUCUAACCCAGCAAACAGACCAUACAAACCAUUACUGUAGUAUACUUCCCUCUCUAACCCAGCAAACAGACCAUACAAACCAUUACUGUAGUAUACUUCCCUCUCUAACCCAGCAAACAGACCAUACAAACCAUUACUGUAGUAUACUUCCCUCUCUAACCCAGCAAACAGACCAUACACACCAUUACUGUAGUAUACUUCCCUCUCUAACCCAGCAAACAGACCAUACACACAGGCAAUAUUGUACACACUAAUGUUAAAUGUAUCUGGAAAAUAGUACACAACUCCAAGUGCCACUAUUCUGGAUUUAAUUAUCAUUGUUAAACAUCAUCAUAUAAUAUUAAAAACAGCAACUCACCUAAUGUACAAUACAGUACUACACUUACAUGCAAAUUGCCCAAUAGCCAGCUAUGCCCAGGCCAACAAAACACAACGAGAAAAAUAUAAGCAUCAUUCACAACACAGUCUUGAACAUUGAGCCUUCUCCUGCUUUUUCAAAUAGAUACACUUUAAUUUACCAGUAGGCUACCUGUAUUAUUCUGUAUUAAUUUACCAGUAGGCUACCUGUAUUAUUCUGUAUUCAUUUACCAGUAGGCUACCAGUAUUAAUUUACCAGUAGGCUACCUGUAUUAUUCUGUAUUCAUUUACCAGUAGGCUACCUGUAUUAUUCUGUAUUCAUUUACCAGUAGGCUACCUGUAUUAUUCUGUAUUAAUUUACCAGUAG